rnacentral:rRNA from 1 species
UACGGAGGAUGCAAGCGUUAUCCGGAAUUAUUGGGCGUAAAGCGUCCGCAGGUGGCUAUGUAAGUCUGCUGUUAAAGAGUGAGGCUCAACCUCAUAAAAGCAGUGGAAACUACAUGGCUAGAGUGCGUUCGGGGCAGAGGGAAUUCCUGGUGUAGCGGUGAAAUGCGUAGAUAUCAAGUGGAACACCAGUGGCGAAGGCGAAUCCCUGGAAAAUACCUGACACUGAGGCACGAAAGCUAGGGGAGCAAACAGG